CUUAGUGGCGAACGGGUGAGUAACGCGUGAGUAACCUGCCCUGGAGUGGGGGACAACAGUUGGAAACGACUGCUAAUACCGCAUAAGCCCACGGAUCCGCAUGGAUCUGCGGGAAAAGGAUUUAUUUGCUUCAGGAUGGACUCGCGUCCAAUUAGCUAGUUGGUGAGGUAACGGCCCACCAAGGCGACGAUUGGUAGCCGGACUGAGAGGUUGAACGGCCACAUUGGGACUGAGACACGGCCCAAACUCCUACGGGAGGCAGCAUG
rnacentral:rRNA from 1 species